rnacentral:rRNA from 1 species
GCACGCCCUAGAGCCCCAAUCAAAAUUGCACCACAAACCUUACAAUCAAAUCCACCUUCAUGCCCCAUAUGAGAAACAAUCCAUAUAGCUACCAACCAUUGUAACCCAUCUCUCCCCCUCCCAUAAGCUACACCUUGAUCUGACAUAUCUCAUAAUUAUGAUUAUAGGGAAUUUGACUUUUCAAAGACCCCCUUACAGACGACGAUAUAUAAACUGACUAAACAAAAAAGGGUAAUAUCAACGUGGAACAUCGAUUACGGGACAAGUUCCUCUGAAAGGACUAAGGCGCCGCCAAAUCCUUUGGGUUUUAAGAAAACAACAAAUACUACCCACAAUACAUUUUACCACAAA